rnacentral:sRNA from 1 species
AGUGAAGAAGAAGAAUCUGGCUCAUCU